UGUGUGUGUGUGUGCGCGCGUGUGUGUGUGUGAGGGACGAAAGCAGAGAGGGCAAAAGUUCAUAAACAAAGACAGAAUUAGUGCAUCUUUCUAAUUCUGAAAGUGUCUAAGCAAGACUAAAAUAAUAUAUCUCAAACAUCCAAUUAGUGCAUUCACUUGUGUCCACUCAGCAGGUUUGUUCAUGUUCAAUGGCAUUAAGUAACUAAAUAUGAAGUGAUGGACCCAACUCAUGAAAAACCUUCAUCUAUUAACUUUAUUAUCACGCAAUACAUUGUAACUGAGACACUUAACCUCUGACCAGUCAGUGACACAAACAGAGACACAGAGUUAAUGAUAAAGAGGUCUUGUGGCAGGAUGUGGCGUGAUUGUAAUGGGAGAAAAGGAAGACUGACUCUUGGCUUCAAAUUGGAUCGCUCUCUGGACAGCAAGUGCACAAUACUUUCACAUCUGCAUGCACACAUACACACUUACACACACAUACACACUUACACACACACUUACACACACACACACACACACACACACACACUAACCUGGAGCUGUGAGCAUGUGAAACCUCAACAGUUGGCUGGAUAAACCUUGAGCACCCCCUAGUGUUGUUUUUACAUAAUCCACAAGGCAGAAAUGAUCAACAUAGAGAAAUGUGUUCUUGACAAUCAAAUGUGUCCAAAGGCUGUAAAUCAAAGUACAGCACCAUGAGGAAGGUAUUGGUUAUUUAAUAGUAAUUAGUCUGUUAAUCUAACAACACAAUGUUCUUCCUUUCUUGACAUCAAGACAGGGCAAUCAAUUUUUGCACUUUAAUAAAUGUCACUUUGUCUACAUCACAUUAUAUGUAAGAAACUUAUAUAUCCCAUUUCAAGAGAUCUGCAAAUAGAUAUAAGAUUUUAGUACCACUGCCAAGGAGGUUGUGUUUCCACCCAUGUCAGUUUGUUUGUGGGGUGGUUAGUUUUCAGCAUAAUUGAAGCACAAAUACUAAAAGGAUUGACACAAUGCUUGGAUGAAGGAUGGGUUUCAGCCAAUAACAGACCCCAUUAGCCUUUGGUGCAGAUCUGGGUAAAGGGACGGAUCCAGGAAUAUUUCCUCACUUUCUUUAAUAUUAUACAUGAGGCGUUUUUGACAUUUUUGUUAACAUCUCAGAGAAUAAUGCAUGGACCUACGAGUGAGUAAAGUUUUAUGUGGAUCAUAGAUCUGGUGAUCUUAAGUUAGGAUAAAACAGUUAAAAUUCAGGGUUUAUUAAAUUAAAAAGGACGGUUGAGCCUUAGUGGAGGUAUGCGCUCUACUUCCAUUUAGUUUAUUAUUACCUUACUUUGCUUCUGUUUUUACCCUUAUUUUUUUAAUGUUGUAUUUGUGGAACAAAUGCCAAUCCACAUACUUUAUAUGCUUGCAUACUUGGCUAAUAAAGCACUAUGUUUCUGAAUCUAAAAAAAGAGAAGAGAAAAGAGACAAAGGCACCUCAUGUAUGGCGGCUGAGUCCCCCCGCAGCAGACCAGGUUUGAAUCUAACCCAUGGCCUUUUACUGCAUGUCAGCAUCUCUCUUUCUAUUUUCUGCCAUCCCUCUAUGCUUAAAUAUCUACAUGGAGACUAAAAGCUUAAAAAAAAAAGUUGGAAAAGAAGAAAAAUCUGGAUAACCUCAUGUUUUCUUUAUGGACCAUGGAGGCAUUUUAUUUAGCUGAAGCAAAUUAAAGAACUGCAAAAGAAGGUUGCACCUUGUUUUUUAUGCAACUUUCCACAGACAGCUUAAAAUUCUUCUUGGUUCAAUCCUGGGACAUCAGAUUUAGAUGAUUUAAUACAAACUUCCAACACAUCUAGUUUUUUUUAGUUUUUUUUUUGGGGGGGGGGGAUAACAUUUAUAUAAAUCAGUAGGUUACAGCACCCCAGACGAAGGCUGACCUGGGCUUUUUCUCUCAGGCUAGCGGGCAAACAUCCCAGUUAGGUUUUGGAGGGUUGACUGUGAUCCCAAACCUUGUCUGGCAUCCAAAGCAAACCCUCGGCUAAAGCCUAAUGUGUGUUUCCAUCCAGGCUCAUGUAAAUGUUUGUGAUUAAAAAGGGAGAUAUGAGAGCCGAGGCGUUUCUGCAAUCUUGCACAUCCUAAUUUGGUACUGGGGGAGUUAACACACCUGCCAGCUUCCUGCUGACGAGGGUGAUUUCUCAACUGUUGUUGUUUAUGCCGUCAGUUUAAGGAGAGGCGAAGACAGUGAGAAAAAGGGAGAGUCCGGGCUGGGCAAGACAGAGCAAACAUACACAAACACAAAAUACCCUAUACGCACAAACAGAUCUCAGGCUGCUGCCAAUAACAGGCCAUCCUAACAUGUGAAAAUGUUGACUGCUUGAUGAUUGAUGGUAGUUAUUUGUGGCUUUCUAACCCUCCUCUUUUGCCUCCACUCCCUCGUUUUCCUUCACUUUCUUCAUCUUCCUCCUCCUCCGCUCCAUCUCAUCUUUGCGCUGUUGCUCCCCAUCACCCUACCCCCUCUUCUCGGACAAUGUGAACAUGAUUAAUAAUGUGUAAUGUUGUAUAAGCAGCCUGCUGUCCAUCAUUCGUGCUUGUCUGCCAUUUUUAAAAACAGAUUCGUAGGACAGAGUUGUGUGCUCCUAACAGCAAGUUUCGGGUAGCGUGUCACACUCAGGGACACAAACCAGAUCUUAUCACAACAGUAAAUCAUGAAAUCAUCCAGAAAAAUGUCAACUUUUAACAAUUAUAUCACACAUCCUUGAAAAUGAUUAAACAUGCAAUUAAUUUUCUAUGAGUAUAUUGUGCAUUAUAAGGCCCAUACACGUUUUAGUUCACUCAAAAUCCUCUGAGAAUCACACUUUUUUUGUAAGCAAAGUUCGAUUCCUCAAUAUGUAUGUCUAUAUUUAGGUGUUGGUAUGGGGACAGACAUAUAAAUAAAGAUGUGAAUACGGAGACAAAUGAAUAAGUGGCAGUGUAGUUCUGGGUGUCUGCUAUUACUGCCACACUGCCAGCUCCCCAUCCAUCACUCGCUAACACAGUGCGUCUGAGUGUGUGUGUGUGUGUGUGUGUGUGUGUGUGUGUGUGUGUGUGUGUGUGUGUGUGUGUGUGUGUGUGUGUCUGCAGGAGGAAGAGGAGGAGGAUAAGGAGAGAGGAAGAGGAGAGGACAUCGGAGGCCACAGUGCAAGUUCCUCAUCCAUCAUUCUGAAUUCCUCUGUUUCUUUGACUCACCCUCUUUGGACGACAGCCGUUCUCUUUUCUGCCCCGAGCCCUCUUCUCUACAAACAGACGGGAUGGACGGAGAGAGAAAGGGAGAUGACAGCAGCCUUGCAGUGGCUGGGGCCGCUGUCUUGGCUGCCGGGCCCAUUUGACUUGCCAGCUUGGCCGGAGGAUGAACUCCGGGACUAACUGGAGCCAAGAUUUGAGUGAAGGUAUGUGAGAAGUGCGUGCUGAGCCAGCUGCCGACUGACGCGAGGUGGAGACACUCAAACCACUGUGUGCCCACACACACACACACACACACACCCAAACUCACACAGAGCAUGUUUGGGGACCAGCUGCCAGCAAAUGAAGGAUCUCCCUCCCAAUUCACUUGUUAUUGUGCUGUCUGGGUGACAAGUAUACCUAUAGACCCAGAUUCCUUGUGCAGCAGUCUUGGGGAACCUUGAGAUUUCCAGGCUCUGAUUUAAUGGCUCGUAAUUCUUGAAAGGCAAUCCUUCUUCACCCUCCGACGCUCGGAUGCACCAUUCUUCCGGCAGCCCACCAAGCUCGGCCUCUGCUCCCCUCUGGAUCCCCAGGCCAGUCCAAACGCCAGUUAAAACUACUCAGCUGGAAAAAGCCCCGUGCCCCUUCUGUCACUGGCAUUGUAUUAUCUGCUAUGGGCUGACAGGACAAGGCAUCCUGUAACAGUUUUGUGUAGAUAUGUGUGAGUAAUGCUGCUGCGACCUCGGUUUGCUCUUUGGUCCAUUCUUUGAUCAGUGCCAACAAGGAGACGCUAUUUAGAUAUGUUUAUCAUGUUUUAAGAAUAUCCUGUAUUCUAUUGUGUUUGUACAGUAUGAUUGAUGAAAAAGAUAUCAAUCAACAGCCUACAUUCAGUUUGGAGAUUGGUCACUUUGUUUAUUACAGGGGAGGCCUCUCUGUAAAUAAAGACUUUGUUAAUUUAAGACUGUGCUGCCUGCAUGCUGAUCAGCACUGUAAUAACAUUACAUGACACGUUUCCAAAAAUGUAUGCACACAGUUCUGUUUUUACCACAAAGUUGCUUAAAACUAAACUUUAACUUCAUCACCUUGAUGUCUUUCAACGUGGUGGCUCACAGAAGAGGUUAAGCUCAUUUUAAAAUGGCCAAUAAAUGUACCCCAGCAAGUCAACUAACUACGAGGGAGAAACAAAAGCAGCAAGUUUAAAAAGCAAUCAUUACGCUGGUAUCUCUAAUUGUGUUGCUUCCUCUCCUCAUGUGUAAUCCCUGGUUCCUCGCUUUGCCUUCAUUAACAAUGGAUGAAUUAAUUAGAAACCUUCAUAGGAUUUCUGCACAGUGAACCCAGGAGAUAAAACACAUCCUAUUCCUCAGACCUGCUCCUUUCCUUGUAUAUUCUUUUUUCCGCUCUCCCCUCCCUCUGCUCUUAAUUGUAUUGUUUGCUUGUUGUGUCGAUAGCAGGAUUAAUUUCACUAUAGAUCAGGAUUAUUGACCUUCUCGUCAAUGUUAUUUCAUUUCUGUAAGGUGCUAAUUAUAGGGAACAGGGGAAAGCAAAUUGCACUGUAACUUGUCUCACUUGCUUUCCAAUAAAACAGAAAGAAAACAACAUUAAUUCCCCUUUAGCUGCCCUCCUUGGUAGGGUAAAUUCAAUCACUAUUUCACUGCCUAUCUGUGGAUCUAUGAGGGACACUGUUAACAACUGCUGGACUUGAUUGGUGGACUUUAAAUUUAAAACACUGUUGACAACUCUGACCCAUUCCCCUCGACCAAAUGCCAUUCUUGUCACACUCACUGCUCUUUUCUUGGUUCUCUCACUUCAUUUGAGAGAGGGGGAGGGCACAGUUCAUAAACAAUUAACCGGCUGGAUAAGUGAUACACUCAAGCGCUAACAGACCUGAAAAAAAUUGUGUUAUAAAUUCUGGUAAUUGAGUAGAGGGAGGCGAACAUCGGGCAACUGAGGCUGAGUUGGCAGCAUCUUAAAACAGUUGCCUGAAGAUCAGGUGGUCUGCACUUUUGCAUCAUUAUCAUCUCAUGAAAGAAGAGAGAGGCCACACCUUGUAAAAGAGAAGGAUGUAGACAAUUCUAAAGGGACAGUUAUCGUUAACAAAUCUAAAAAGCUCAACACGUGCAGUCAUUUGCUGCUAUUUUGUCCGUUUUGUGAUUGCAUUCACUUCUAAAGG